UAAAACUUUCAACAACGGAUCUCUUGGUUCUGGCAUCGAUGAAGAACGCAGCGAAAUGCGAUAAGUAAUGUGAAUUGCAGAAUUCAGUGAAUCAUCGAAUCUUUGAACGCACAUUGCGCCCUGUGGUAUUCCGCAGGGCAUGCCUGUUCGAGCGUCA
rnacentral:rRNA from 1 species